rnacentral:rRNA from 1 species
AGCAGCCGCGGUAAUUCCAGCUCCAAUAGCGUAUAUUAAAGUUGUUGCAGUUAAAAAGCUCGUAGUUGAACUUCAGGCCUGGCUGGGCGGUCCGCCUCACGGCGUGUACUGUCUGGCUGGGUCUUACCUCUUGGUGAACCGGCGUGCCCUUUAUUGGCGUGCGUCGGGGAACCAGGACUUUUACCUUGAGAAAAU